rnacentral:rRNA from 1 species
GACGAACGCUGGCGGCGUGCUUAACACAUGCAAGUCGAGCGGUAAGGCCCUUCGGGGUACACGAGUGGCGAACGGGUGAGUGACACGUGGGUGAUCUGCCCUGCACUUCGGGAUAAGCCUGGGAAACUGGGUCUAAUACCGGAUAGGACCACUGCCUGCAUGGGUGGUGGUGGAAAGCUUUUGCGGUGUGGGAUGGGCCCGCGGCCUAUCAGCUUGUUGGUGGGGUGAUGGCCUACCAAGGCGACGACGGGUAGCCGGCCUGAGAGGGUGACCGGCCACACUGGGACUGAGAUACGGCCCAGACUCCUACGGGAGGCAGCAGUGGGGAAUAUUGCACAAUGGGCGCAAGCCUGAUGCAGCGACGCCGCGUGAGGGAUGACGGCCUUCGGGUUGUAAACCUCUUUCAGCACCGACGAAGCGCAAGUGACGGUAGGUGCAGAAGAAGGACCGGCCAACUACGUGCCAGCCGCCGCGGUAA